GCCGAGGCCGGACGACGCGGCCCGGAGCGUGGAGCCGCGAGCAGCGCUGGGUAACGGCCACGGCGACCUCCAAGACGGCGCCGGUUCCCGCCGCCGGGCUUUCCUGUCGCCAUUCGUUGCGCUGCCGGCUUCUUGGUGAAUUUUUGGAUGAAGCCAUUAAAUUAAUUGCUUGCCACCAUGAGCAGAAGCAAGCGUGACAGCAAUUUUUAUAGUGUAGAGAUUGGAGAUUCUACAUUCACAGUCCUGAAACGGUAUCAGAAUUUAAAACCUAUAGGUUCAGGAGCCCAAGGAAUAGUAUGUGCAGCUUAUGAUGCCAUUCUUGAAAGAAAUGUUGCAAUCAAGAAGCUAAGCCGGCCAUUUCAGAAUCAAACUCAUGCUAAGCGUGCUUACAGAGAGCUAGUUCUUAUGAAAUGUGUAAAUCACAAAAAUAUAAUUGGCCUUUUGAAUGUUUUUACACCACAGAAAUCCCUAGAAGAAUUUCAAGAUGUUUACAUAGUCAUGGAGCUCAUGGAUGCAAAUCUUUGUCAAGUGAUUCAGAUGGAACUAGAUCAUGAAAGAAUGUCCUACCUUCUCUAUCAGAUGCUGUGUGGAAUCAAACACCUUCACUCUGCUGGAAUUAUUCAUCGGGACUUAAAGCCCAGUAAUAUAGUAGUAAAAUCAGACUGCACUUUGAAGAUUCUUGACUUUGGACUGGCCAGGACUGCAGGAACUAGUUUUAUGAUGACACCUUACGUAGUGACUCGCUACUACAGAGCACCUGAGGUCAUCCUAGGGAUGGGCUACAAAGAAAACGUUGACAUUUGGUCAGUUGGGUGCAUCAUGGGAGAAAUGAUCAAAGGUGGUGUUUUGUUCCCAGGUACUGAUCAUAUUGAUCAGUGGAAUAAAGUUAUUGAACAGCUUGGAACACCAUGUCCUGAAUUCAUGAAGAAACUACAACCAACAGUAAGGACUUAUGUUGAAAACAGACCUAAAUAUGCUGGAUAUAGCUUUGAGAAACUCUUCCCUGAUGUACUUUUCCCAGCUGACUCGGAACACAAUAAACUUAAAGCCAGUCAGGCAAGGGAUUUGUUAUCUAAAAUGCUGGUAAUUGAUGCAUCUAAAAGGAUUUCUGUAGAUGAAGCUCUCCAGCACCCGUAUAUCAACGUCUGGUAUGAUCCUUCUGAAGCAGAAGCUCCACCACCAAAGAUACCUGACAAGCAGUUAGAUGAAAGGGAACACACAAUAGAAGAGUGGAAAGAAUUGAUAUACAAAGAAGUUAUGGACUUGGAGGAGAGAACCAAGAAUGGAGUUAUACGGGGGCAACCCUCUCCUUUAGGUGCAGCAGUGAUCAAUGGCUCUCAGCAUCCAUCGUCAUCAUCGUCUGUCAAUGAUGUGUCUUCAAUGUCAACAGAUCCGACUUUGGCCUCGGAUACAGACAGCAGUCUAGAAGCAUCAGCUGGACCUCUGGGCUGCUGUAGAUGACUACUUGGGCCUUGUGGGGGUGGGAGGGAUGGGGAGUUGUUUAGUCAUUGAUAGAACUACUUUGAAAACAAUUCAGUGGUCUUAUUUUUGAGUGAUUUUUCAAAAACAUAGAAUUCAUUUUGUAGUAAAGUAGUUUUUUUCUUAAUUUCAAGUGAUGUAAUUUAAAACUUAAGUUGUGUUUUAAAACAGCAACAAAACUAUUUUUGCUGUAAUUAACUGUAUAAUGUAAACCUAAUUAUUUUAUCAUGGUUUAAAAUUUUUGCAUAUUUGCUUUAUCUUAUGCUGCUGAUUUUUUUUUUUACUGAAUUUGUAAGAUUUUGUUUAUCAAAGCAACUGUUAUGUGGUGACUUGCCUAUAUCAUGAAUUAUUUAAGAUUUUUAUAGUUUUUUUAUUAGAAUUUAUUCAGAUGUUUUGUUCAUGAUGCUAUCCUUUAGGGUUAUGUGCUUAUCAAUGAAAUAACCCCAGAGGAGUGAGGGAAAAUAACCUGUAGCCAGUUAUAUUCAGGAAUAACUACUGUAAAUGAUGAACGUGUUAAAAAAAAAACCUCCAAUAUUUGCUACUUGCCAAUUCUGAUUUAGUUACAACAAUUGGUAGGUAAUCCUACAUGAAUUUUGGCAAAAGCCCCAUCAUCUAAAUGGUAGAAUAACUCAGAGCAUGUCUUUGAAGAUGUUGGGCAUCUACCACCACCCUCCUAUCCCCCAUCCUACCCACCAAAAGUAAGAGAAUAUGGUGUUUUCUGCAAAUUUGUGGCAUGCUCAAAGCUUAUGAUCACGUAAAGUCAAGAGGCUACUUCAUGAAUAAUACAUUUCAAUGGAAAUAAACAGAUGGUUCACCUUUACUAGCUAUGAGCCUGUUUUUAUAUACACUGAGUUAAUCUACUCAGGCUGUAGGCCCCAGCAAUGAUUUAGAGUCUGGUCUUUCUCUUUCCUGCAGCCUCGGGCCCUUGGACCUAUUUGGUUUCUAGAGUGUCAGUCAGUUGAGCACCAGUUCUCAGGGUGUUUCUGGCCAUUUGAUUCUACCUGUGGCAUAAUCAUAUUUAUACUAGCUGUUGGGAGGUUCCAAAGCCUACUUAGAUUUCUGUAGGUGAUGUAUAAAAUGAGCAAUAUACCGUUCAUCUGAAAAUAGUAGCACACAGCCAUAUAUAGGAUAUCAUUUUCUAAGGAAUGUUUCUUCACAUUGAGUAGAGCAGGCAUAAUUGGUGGUUAUUUAGUCUGAGUCUUUAAUUUUUUUAUACCUGAUUUUCAAUAAAACACACAAUGUGGAUGUUGAACAGUGUAAGAAUGGUGCUGCUCCUGACAGUUGUAUGUUAACUGUUUACAUUUUAUAUCUGCAGAAUUAUUUCUCUAUAACUGAAUUUUUCUUAAGUAAAAUGUCAUUGAAGUCUCAUUAUAUCUGAAAUACAUUGUCUGUAAUGCCCCAGGCACUUUUUGUUAUUUUUGGAACAAGAGGCAUUUCAUGUAAUGAACUGGGAAAUGCAUACUUAAGUAAGCUAAAGGUUCUAGGCAGAAAGCCCAAUGGAAUUAAUGACCAGCAGGAGCAAGAACUGGUGCGGCUCAACGUGCAGCGUCUGAAAGUCCACUUGGCAUGUUAUUCAUAUAUUCAGUGCAAAAUUCGUUUUGAGUAAGGUAUUUUAGGUCAUUGUUAAUGUGCAAUAUUUAGGAUUAAAAUACAUUAAUAGCCAUUUUAUAUGCUUUGAAAUAGUAAGUUUGUCUUUGAUGGUUUAAAGUGAUUUCUAGCCUCUUGAAGUUGGCAGCCUUUUUAUUAAUCCCUUUUCUACUGAUAUGACAGGGUGCAUUAAUUAGGCAAAUUAAAGUUUUAAGACUAUAACACCUUUUGAAUCGUAGAAACAGGAUUGGAUUUACAAUUUCAGAAGAAAUUUGAGCAUGAGUGUGUUCCUAGUUUUUAUUAGUUUGACAGUUAACUAGCUUUAUUUCUAUAGGAUAGAUUAUUUCACUAUUGCACUUUAACAACUGACAUGCUCUCAGAAGAUUCCCUUAUUUUCUGUUUCCUCGCUGAUAAGCCAUCUCUUGAUACAGAUUUUGGUUAAGCAAGGAAAACCAAGUGUUGUUACAGUAUUGUUUGUUGUAAAUGCCAGCUCCCACUUGCCAACCAGCAUGUUUCAGUUGAUCAGAGAAGAUCAACUCUUAUUAGUCAUGUAGACUAAAAUACUUGUUAUAUCCUGAAAACAAAGUCUAAGUGUUGCUUGUCCUGGGUUUUUAAAAAUGCAAUAGCUAAAUACAACCUUCCCUCUUCUCUUAACUGUAUUAAAUUAAAAAUGUGCUAGUUCUUUGUAUUUUACUUUUGAACCUUUAAAAACAUCUUAAACAUUUUUUUAAAGAAAUUACAAAUAAGAUUUCUGUCAAGCAGUACUUACGUAAAGCCACUUUGCUUAUCUUAUAACUUUGUUUUUUCAACUUUAUAUACUUAAUAUACCCAUGGUCUUACUGUCAGAAAAUUACUUUGACCAAGAUAUAUUGUUUAACUUUAUAGGUUAAGAAAGAGACAAUAAUUCUUUCUACAUAUUUCUUCCUGGUUACUGUUCUGUUACCCUCUAAUAUAAACUAUUUGUUAAAUGAUUGUGUUGUUGGGAUUGCUUAAUUAUAAUAGACAUAGACAAAGCAUCUCAACUCUUCAUACUGUUUGCUGAACAGUUCUCAUUUUGUUACACACCCUCGGCUGCUGAUUGUUCCUGGUAUGCACUCUUCCAAGUUGGUAAAGGUACAGUGCAUUCACACCAGACUUCCUAAGAGAAAUGCCAGCCUCUUAAGUGAAAAGGCUACCAUACAAACCCCUUAACGAUAUCAAGAAGCUUGAUUAUAUGUGAAGCAGCAGACUUUCUCAUAAGCCCUUUCAUUAUUUUGUUCCAUGCUAAUCCUGCUGUGUUGUCUAAAAAGGUAAAGGUGAAGAGGACAUGGAUGAUCUGAUAGUGAAAUCAGCAGCAGGCAAGUGAAGUGAAGCCGUUUGGGGUUACAGAUAAGACUUGGUAUACACUAUCGGCCAGUAUGUGCUACACUAUGAAGAUGUAACUACUCAUUGUUGCCUAGGCACAAGCCUGUACAACAUUUUGAGAGAAUACAAGACAACAACGUGCUGUAUGUCUUUCCCUUUUGUUCUGUGAGGGCAUCCUGUGUGCUAAUCUACUGAUGCUUCGCCUUGGAAUCCCUUGGAUGGAAGAGCCUGUCUUACUCCUAGAUCACGAUGACUGGGAAGUAGGCAUUCAAUCAGUAUUGGUCUGGCUGCCUUGGAGAACUAAAUACCAAAUCCUCCACCGGGAGCAGCGACAAAUGGGAGACAGCAUGCAGCAGAGAAUGAGAUCACGGAGCCUGGUUAUGUGGACUCCAUUCUGAAGCCCGUUUACUGUGUGGAGUGAACACAGUUCAUGCCUGGUCUGUUAUUCCACCAGCCAGGCCCAUCCUGUGGAGCUCUGGCCCAGGCCUGGGCUGUGUGUGGCAGCAGCCACGGAAAGGUUUUCUUGAAGGAUUUACCCCCGUGGAGCCUUGAAGUCUGAGGAUGAACUGGAGGACGAAGGUAAACAGGCAGGGAAGGGAGAGGGGAUAGCACCAGCUCGAGGGGAAUUUGCAAGGGAGAUGGGCACAGUCUGAGGCGUCUGUACCUGGAGGACAGAGAACAGGCACUACCUAUCACCUUGGCUCACCUUUCCUUUAGAGGCACACCUUGUCACCCUGCACACUCCCGGGGUGCAGAAGCAGGGAGUGCAGCACCCUUGCUGAGCUCUGACUGACUCACAGGCUCUGGCUUUGGAGCAGAGCUAGAGUCAAGGGAAGGAAAGCAGGUUACAGGGGAAGGCCUGAGAGGAAUUCCAGGACAGACACAAGCUGCAGAGGCCCAGGUGGCUCAGAGAGGGAGCAAGCAGUGAGGUAAGCCAUCCUGCCCAGAGCACAGAAGAUGGAGCUGAGAGCACAGACAUGUGGCUAAGUCCAGCUUCAAUGACCAUGGCAACAGCUCCUCUGGGACCUUUGCACCCCACUUCUGAAGGCCCCACGCCAUUCCACCCAUGGGACACCUUGAGGACUCCCAACCCCGCGAGAAACAGGAGAGGUCAGUUGGUACCCUCACUUUGCAUGCCCAUGAAGGAGUCAGGCAUCCAGGCAUCAUGCUUUCAGGGCAGAUUUAAUAAAGAAUGCAAAAAGGUCCUGGUGAGCUACUCAGAUCCCAGGUGCCACCUGUUUCGGCAGCUACGGGACUGUCCCCCCGACACCUGCCAUACCCUACUCAGUCAGAGCAGCAUCCAGCUCCAGAGCAGGGCUCGGGCUCCCGACGGGGUGUCAGGACUGCUCUCUCCAGCUGGCACCAGACCUCCUGGCACCACGGAGGCCCAGGGCCAAGCUGCAGAGGCUCUGGUCCCUCCCGAGGCAAGCUGAGCAGCAGCACAGAACUCUCCCCACUCCUUUACUUUGGUGCUCUGGCACCUUUUGCCCCAGCAGUCAGGCUUCCCAGGGUUGAAAAAAACUCCUCCAUUUCCUUCUGCAGCAGCUGGUUCCUCUUCUCUGCGUCCUCCCGUGCCCGCUCCGAGUUCCUCAGCUUUAUUUCCAGCAUUGUGUACUUUUUCUUUUCCUGGUCUAGUUGUUCUUCUAGCUGUAACAUUCGUUUCCUCAGGUCGGCACUACCUUCUUCGAGUCUUAAAAUUCAAGAAGAAAGACAUCAUUUUAGACUUGGGCCUGCUGGGUUUGCCAAGAAAACUCCAUUGUCAGCAGACACUUGAUGGGGCGAAGGAGCUGACGACCCACUCCUGUGAGACAUGAGGGACUUGCUGCGCCUGGCUCCUAGGAACUGACCUGACUACAAGACACAUGACUGUGGGCAGGACUCAAACUUCACUGAGCCCUGGUGCCUCACCCUGAAAAUGCAGGGGACGGCCUUCCACCUAUGCACUGUAGCUACGAUGGACCAAGGAGACCACAUGUGCACAGCAUACCACCUGGCACAUGGUGUACCUGAAGCAAAUAUCCAUUCCCUGCCCCAUCCAGGAUGAGGCCUGGGCCUUCACCCUCAACCACUGAACACAGAGCAUGGAGAAGGGCUAAAGUCUGGAAGAAGAGAAGGAUGCCCACUUUCACUACUUCGAUAUAGUACUGCAAGUCCUAGACACAGCAAUCAGCCAAGGAAAAGAAAUAAAAGGUAUUCAAAUUGGUA